rnacentral:sRNA from 1 species
GCGAGUCCGUUAGCGUUGUAGAAUGC